GCUAACUUCGGGCCAGACGCCGGGGUGAUACGAAGGGUGCAAUGGGUAUUCGGAAGUACUGGGCGGAAAGGGUGAGUAGGUGGUCUUUGAAGUCCGUUGUGAAAUCCCUUGGCUCAACCGGGGAAUGGCAGUUGAUACUGGAAGGCUAGAGUGCGGUAGAGGGUAGUGGAAUUCCCGGUGUAGCAGUGAAAUGCGUAGAGAUCGGGAGGAACACCAGUGGCGAAGGCGGCUACCUGGACCAGCACUGACACUGAGGCACGAAAGCGUGGGGAGCAAACAGGAUUAGAUACCCUGGUAGUC
rnacentral:rRNA from 1 species